CAAGCCUUGAGGGUAGACUGAGAAGUGGUUUCUUCUUUUUCCUAAUACAGGAGGCUGACCUGAACUCCUGGUUGGAUUUGGCCAAUGGAAGGCACUGGCAUGGACUGGUGGGAGAGAGGGAGGAAGGAAAGAGUAGGAAACCUUUCGUCGUGGGAUGGAA